rnacentral:rRNA from 1 species
UACGGGGGGGGGCAAGCGUUGUUCGGAAUUACUGGGCGUAAAGGGCUCGUAGGCGGCCAACUAAGUCAGACGUGAAAUCCCUCGGCUUAACCGGGGAACUGCGUCUGAUACUGGAUGGCUUGAAUCCGGGAGAGGGAUGCGGAAUUCCAGGUGUAGCGGUGAAAUGCGUAGAUAUCUGGAGGAACACCGGUGGCGAAGGCGGCAUCCUGGACCGAGAUUGACGCUGAGGCGCGAAAGCCAGGGGAGCAAAGCGGG